ACAUGCCCACGGUGGCACGGAGUCCUUCUGAAGCUGAGUGUGCUGAGCCACGUGGUGCUGCUGGCGCUGCUGGCGGUGCUCAGUGUGCAGGGUGAGUAAAAACCACUCGUAAACACAUCCAAAACCCAAGCGACCAUGAGGGAUUUUUUUAUUUUAUUUCUUUUUCGCCAAGGGGUGUUCAGGUUUUUAUCCUAGUGACCAUCUCCAUUUGGAUGGGGACAAUUUUACCCCACAAGAUGAAUCCAACAAGAGUAAAUCCCCUCUCAAAACAAACAAAGAAACACAAAAACACACAAAAAAAAUGCUUUUAAAGCAAGGGUGGAGGACACAAGAAACAUUUUUAUGCUGUUGCAAAAGUUGGGUAUAGUCAUGACCAGAAACGGUGCUUGCAAAAUAGCCUGGAGAACCCAACUCAGCCCUGCUCGGUUUUCACGACGUUGCCCUAAAACAGCCUCAGUCUCACCCCAAAAUUUUACCUCCAAGUUUUUCAGAAGAUGCCGACACCUCCCAACACUCUGCAAAACAAGAGCGAGGCUGGGGGAAGGAGCAGGACGGAGGUGUGCAUGAUUCCCUCCCUGCUGCACUACUUCUGCCGCUGGAAUGGCUCCACAGGCCACGGGGGCUGCAAGCUGUGCCCCCAGUCUUGGCAGCUUUUUGGGGACCAGUGCUACCAGGUUUCCAAAUCGAGUGGGACUUGGAUGGAAGGCAAAAAAGACUGCGAAAGUCGAGGGUCCCAUCUGGCCCUGUUCCGAAACACCACCGAUAUGGUAAGUGCAGAGUGUAAAAGGCUUGAAAUGGACCCCAAAGGCCUGGGUUUUGGUGGGUAGAGGGGCAAAAACUGCCCCGGAGCUGCUGGUUGGUGGCAGGAGGCUUGGUAGCUCCAAGCCACUUCGCACUAAGGAGGUAACAAGGCUGAAUCACCACCUAAAGGGCUUUGGAGGCCUCUUCCUAC
rnacentral:lncRNA from 1 species